AUUGAACGCUGGCGGCAGGCCUAACACAUGCAAGUCGAACGAGUGGCGGACGGGUGAGUAAUGUCUGGGAAAUUGCCCGAUGGAGGGGGUUAACUACUGGAAACGGUAGCUAAUACCGCAUACCAUCGUCUGUGCCCAGAUGGGAUUAGCUAGUAGGUGGGGGAACGGUUAACCUAGGCUACGAUCCCUAGCUGGUCUGACAGGAUGACCAGCCAAACUGGAACGAAGAACCGGUCAAGACUCCACGGGGAGGAAGAAGUGGGGAUCAUUGCACAAGGUGCGCAAGCCUGAUGCAGCCAGGCCGCUGGUAUGAAGAAGGCCUUCGGGUUGUAAAGUACUUUCAGCGAGGAGGCGUUACUCGAAGAAGAAGCACCGGCUAACUCCGUGCCAGCAGCCGCGGUAAUUC
rnacentral:rRNA from 1 species